rnacentral:rRNA from 1 species
AGCAAUACGUCAGCGGCAGACGGGUGAGUAACGCGUGGGAACGUACCUUUUGGUUCGGAACAACACAGGGAAACUUGUGCUAAUACCGGAUAAGCCCUUACGGGGAAAGAUUUAUCGCCGAAAGAUCGGCCCGCGUCUGAUUAGCUAGUUGGUGGGGUAACGGCUCACCAAGGCGACGAUCAGUAGCUGGUCUGAGAGGAUGAUCAGCCACAUUGGGACUGAGACACGGCCCAGACUCCUACGGGAGGCAGCAGUGGGGAAUCUUGCGCAAUGGGCGAAAGCCUGACGCAGCCAUGCCGCGUGAGUGAAGAAGGUCUUAGGA